GCGCGAUUUCAGGCGACCACCAGUACGCC
rnacentral:sRNA from 1 species